rnacentral:tRNA from 1 species
GCAGGUAUAGCUCAGUGGUAAAGCAUAUGCUUAACCUGCACAAGGUCCUGGGUUCAAUCCCCAGUGCCUCCA